rnacentral:rRNA from 1 species
GACCCCAGGUCAGGCGGGGCCACCCGYUGAGUUUAAG